UGAACCAAGUUUGGUCUGCUUAACAGACUAUCAAGCUUUCAACUGAAGAGUUUGAUCAUGGCUCAGAUUGAACGCUGGCGGCAGGCUUAACACAUGCAAGUCGAGCGGAAACGAUCCUAGCUUGCUAGGAGGCGUCGAGCGGCGGACGGGUGAGUAAUGCAUAGGAAUCUGCCCGGUAGUGGGGGAUAACCUGGGGAAACCCAGGCUAAUACCGCAUACGUCCUACGGGAGAAAGGGGGCUCCGGCUCCCGCUAUGGGAUGAGCCUAUGUCGGAUUAGCUAGUUGGUGAGGUAACGGCUCACCAAGGCCACGAUCCGUAGCUGGUCUGAGAGGAUGAUCAGCCACAUCGGGACUGAGACACGGCCCGAACUCCUACGGGAGGCAGCAGUGGGGAAUAUUGGACAAUGGG
rnacentral:rRNA from 1 species